rnacentral:rRNA from 1 species
UACGUAGGUGACAAGCGUUGUCCGGAUUUACUGGGCGUAAAGAGCGCGCAGGCGGUCGAUCAAGUCGAGUGUGAAAGCCCCGGCUCAACUGGGGAGGGUCAUUCGAUACUGAUCGACUCGAAGGCAGGAGAGGGUAGUGGAACUCCUGGUGUAGCGGUGAAAUGCGCAGAUAUCAGGAAGAACACCGGUGGCGAAGGCGGGUCUCUGGGCCACUACUGACGCUGAGGAGCGAAAGCGUGGGGAGCGAACAGG